GAGAUUGUGGCUCAGUGGUAGAGUACUCACCUAGCAUGUGUGAGGCCCUGGGUUCGAUCCUCAGCACCACA
rnacentral:tRNA from 1 species